CGCGAAACGAGCGUAGCUUCCUUGUCGUGUGGCCUCAGUCCUUCGCCGUCCCUCGCCGUCCUUCGCCAUCGCACGCCACCGCACCCCAUCUCUCGAAAUCUGCAGACAUCUUGAUUUUUCCCACGCUGUCUGUCAGGUCUCCGCCGCCACUCGACGCCAGGGCGCCGGGCCUUGUGGGCUGUGCUGCACCUCGGACGGCUUCGCACCAGCCAGCGCCCUCUCUCUCCUGCAGCACUCUGAUCUGCACCCCCUGAGGGGCUUCCACUGUCCGCGGGGUGAGAAUGCCCCUGGGAGUGUCACAUGACUGCCGCCCCAUGUGUGUGAGAGGCGUCCUCUGGGAGAGCAUGGAUCCUGAGGUCCCAGGAUUGUCAGCUGACCUCUGUCCUGUGUGCCCAGUGGCCCCAGGUGACGUGUCUUCAAGAAGAGGCUGAGCUGCGGUGCUUGUAAGGUCUCAGCCUUAGAUCCAAGGACAGUCCAAGGAAGUCCUAAGACCAUGGAGUUGGUGAUCUGGGAUCUGGGUUUGCUGAUAUUUCUCACCGUGAAUCUCUUGGUGGUGUUUGUGGGCACGAGAGGGGCAGAGAAUGGAGAGUGAGGCUACCACAUGAAGCGUCACCAGAGCUGCUCCCUGCUGCCUGCUCAGAGCACCCCGGAUCCACUGUUCAAUCUGCACAAGAUUCGGGGUCCAGACAUGGGAGACUUCAGCUGCCUCAGAGGACCGUGGACAGGGAAGGCCAGCCUCGCAUCCCUCUGUCCAUGCCUGGAAUGACUUUAAUAACCAAGAGUUUUAUUUUUGAAUUUGUAGCUGUCGUUCACUUUUUACCCACCCAUUCAAUAAACCUUACAGAAUUGCUCCAUGUGCUUCUUAAAUCAGUGACAACCUGUGAGCCUGCCAGGCUGGCUUUGGAGAAGAGGGAGGAAUCUACACAUGUCCCAGGGGCCAUGGUGAAAAGGUGCAGUUAAUCUCCCCACUUGAAGUUAAAACCACCUUGGCUGGAGUUGGGGCAAAAAUCACGCUGGUAAGCCUGUCUUGAUGAAUUUGGCACAUUAAUGGUCUGCC
rnacentral:lncRNA from 1 species